CAUUGAACGCCAUUUUGCUUUGAAGUGAAAUACAACGGCAUGAUUUUAUUUGAGAUUAUAUUAUUUUUCGAUGUCAGUUCAAAAAAGAGCCCUACAGUACAUACAUGUUUUAAUAACAAAUAAUGAUGGUACCAUAUAUUAUGUGAAUUAAAGAUGCUGCUACUCAAAGAAGGUUUCUGUUACUCUUUGGCACUAUAUUUUUGUCCUAUAUGUAAUUGUAAACAUUUGUUAGCUAGUUAGGCAUUAUUUAUUCAUGUAAAUAUAAUUAUAUUUGUAAAUAUAAUUAUAGUUCAAUUUAUUAUUUAAAAUGUGUUAAUUCAUAGAUAUCUUGUAUACACUAGAUAGUGCAUCUAAUUAUUCUGCAAUUCAAAAAUUGAAGCUCAGUGAUUGCAGGCUCAGGAUUUCCCAUAAAAUGAGAAGAUUUGUAUGUUUUCUAUUUCUUAAACAGGGAACUUAAACAUUAAGUUAAACCUAUUCCAAAUACAUUUUUAAACUAUUCAAAUUAUGAAAGUUAUUGUUGUUUUUAAGCGUUUAUAAGUGAGUGGGAAC